UACGAAGGGUGCUAGCGUUGUUCGGAUUUACUGGGCGUAAAGCGUGCGUAGGUGGCUUUACAAGUCAGGGGUGAAAUCCUGGGGCUCAACCCCAGAAUUGCCUUUGAAACUGUAGAGCUAGAGUAUCGGAGGGGAUAGCGGAAUUGCUAAUGUAGAGGUGAAAUUCGUAGAUAUUCGGAAGAACACCGGUGGCGAAGGCGGCUCACUGGACCGAUACUGACGCUGAGGCGCGAAAGCGUGGGGAGCAAACAGG
rnacentral:rRNA from 1 species